rnacentral:rRNA from 1 species
GACGAACGCUGGCGGCGUGCCUAAUACAUGCAAGUAGAACGCACAGUUUAUACCGUAGCUUGCUACACCAUAGACUGUGAGUUGCGAACGGGUGAGUAACGCGUAGGUAACCUGCCUGGUAGCGGGGGAUAACUAUUGGAAACGAUAGCUAAUACCGCAUAAUAUUAAUUAUUGCAUGAUAAUUAAUUGAAAGGUGCAAUUGCACCACUACCAGAUGGACCUGCGUUGUAUUAGCUAGUAGGUGAGGUAACGGCUCACCUAGGCGACGAUACAUAGCCGACCUGAGAGGGUGAUCGGCCACACUGGGACUGAGACACGGCCCAGACUCCUACGGGAGGCAGCAGUAGGGAAUCUUCGGCAAUGGACGAAAGUCUGACCGAGCAACGCCGCGUGAGUGAAGAAGGUUUUCGGAUCGUAAAGCUCUGUUGUAAGAGAAGAACGGGCGUGAGAGUGGAAAGUUCACACUGUGACGGUAGCUGACCAGAAAGGGACGGCUAACUACGUG